rnacentral:rRNA from 1 species
AGCAGCCGCGGUAAUUCCAGCUCCAAUAGCGUAUAUUAAAGUUGUUGCAGUUAAAAAGCUCGUAGUUGAAUUUCGGGAUUAGUACGUUGGUCGUGCCUUAGGUACGUACUGGUGUUACUGGUUCCUACCUUCUGACGAACCAUCAUGUCAUUAAUUUGGUGUGGCGGGGAAUCAGGACUGUUACUUUGAAAAAUUAGAGUGUUUAAAGCAGGCUCGCGCUUGAAUACAUUAGCAUGGAAUAAUGAAAUAGGACGUUGACCCUAUUUUGUUGGUUUCUAGGAUUGACGUAAUGAUUAAUAGGGAUAGUUGGGGGCAUUAGUAUUCAAUUGUCAGAGGUGAAAUUCUUGGAUUUAUUGAAGACUAACUACUGCGAAAGCAUUUGCCAAGGAUGUUUUCAUUAAUCAAGAACGAAAGUUAGGGGAUCGAAGACGAUCAGAUACCGUCGUAGUCUUAACCAUAAACUAUGCCGACUAGGGAUCGGAUGAUGUUUAAUUUUUAACGACUCAUUCGGCGUCCGUUA